GGAGCAUCAAUGUCAAUGUUUUUCCAGAUAAAGUUUGUUAUUACUUCCAGACUUCAUCCUGGCUGUAUCACACUGCAACGUCUAAAAUCUUUAUAAAUUAGCUUGGGCCAAUCACGAUUAAUUGUCUCUUAUUAAUCUAUUUCAGUAGGGUUCAAUUUUUACGCCAAUCUGUUCAUGUUUUCAUGCUCACUUAAAUCCCUGUGCAGGAGAAACUUUGCAGCAUGAUGUUGAUGUUGUGAAACUUCAAAAAUCAGGUGGUGUUGUAUUCAGGAAUUCAAAAGUCCGUCAGAAGUCCAGGAGCUACAGGAUAACGGAAUAUUUUUAUGGCGUUGUAAAUGAUCUUUUGCCACAUUCAAAUAUUGCAAAUUUCAGUAAUUUGUCUGUGUAUAAAAUUGGUGGUGUGCCAAUUGGUGCAGAGCCAGCUGCAGACCCAACAAGGUUGGUCCCUGUGAAUAUCAACCGGGACCUGCUUCAUUUAGUUCUUGCUGUUUCAUUUGCCAAAGAACCAGAACAAAUUAUUUCAAGUAAUGUUGCCGGGUUCAUCUAUAUCACAGACAUCAACAUUCACAGGAAGAAAAUUACAUACCUCGCACCAUCUGCCAGGCAACUCCCAAGCAGAUUCUUGAUCAUGGGAACUUUGACAUGGCUUGAAACCUGAAUUAUUUAAAAAUAAUUGCAAGUUGUGCCUUGUUUUUGGUUGAAAGCUUGGUUUAAUUGUUUAGUUUUAAUCUUAUCCCCUAUUUUUGUAUGUAUUAUCGCAUUCCAAACCUUUUGCCAAAGCUGGCACCAAGUUUGACAACUGUCAAGGUUUGGCGAAGCUCUCUCUAUUUCUCAUCAUGGGUUCCCCAAAUAACAUUGUCAUUUGACAUUUUGUAAGGAAAAUAGAAAGAAAUUACAUUUUUUUUUUUUUUUAAUGAUUGUCAA